UCCGGCCGGUACCAGUCCGAGCUCUGGUCCCCACGGUCAUCACGCUUUGCUUUCUCAGCCAAGAUCUCGGGGCUCAGGGCGGAAACGCAGCGGAUAUGUAUUUUCUUCCGGGGUUGGUGGCGCUCGGCUCUCAUGACCUGCAGGAAAAGAAGAAGAAAUGGCAGUAAAGAGGGCAACCAUCAUUCCACCCAGCCCAAAAGGAAUAAGAGAAACCCUAUCUUUCAGGAUUCUCAAGAUACAGAGUUUUCAUGGAGUGAUAAUGAAAGGAGCAGCAGCCGCAUUAAUAUCCCAGAGAGAGCAAGUGGACCAGAAGGCAACUUAAACCAGAUUGUUACUGAACCCGAUGCAAACUUUCCCCAGUUCUUGCAUGAGGGAUUGUCUAAACCUGUUUAUGUCAUAAACUGGUUUAUGUCCUUUGGUCCUGAAAUAAAACUCAAUACUUCACAGCAGGGAAGGAACCAAGCUGUUUAAAACUACUUAUCUCCGCUAUGAAGGAGAAGUAUUUUCAAGGAAUAUCAGAAGAAAGUAGAAAGUGAGAGGAGGUUCCAGCUGGGCUUCCUGGGUCAAGUAGGGGCUCAGAAAGCUGUGAAACUCACUCAUUUCCUGCAUGCGGACUUACUUUGGUCCUGGAUGAAUAAUAUUGAAGAUAUGUGCUUAAAACAUUCCUAACAUCAGAAUUUGCGCCUGUGUUUUCUUCCCCAAGAAAGCUAUAAACAGCGAAAAUUUUGUUGUAAGCUUCCCUGUGUCCUCUCUCCCUCUCUCCCUUCCCCCUCCCCUGAAACUAAAAGGAAUGUUAAAAGCCCACUUUUCUGUGACCAGCAGACCUUAUCUAUGGUCCCAAUUCCAAUUCCUUGUAAACACAAUUUGUAAAAUCCCGUGAGAUCCUGUCUCCUUUGCCAUCCCGCUGCAAGGUUAUAAGUAGAGAAAACUUAAGUUACAAUUCCAGUUUUCCUCAAGAUCUGAGACAUGUUAAUUGUCUUUGUUUCUCCCUCUGGUAACAUCUUCCCACCACACAUAUUUCCUGCCUUAGAGAGUUUAAAAGGUGAUAAAAAAAUCUAACACUGGCUACCCCGCUCGGGACCCCUUCCACGCUGUGAAAGCUUUGUACUGUCACUCUGCUUAAUAAAGCCUACAGCUUUUU
rnacentral:lncRNA from 1 species